GUCAGGUUCCACAAUAUCAGUGUUAUCCAACUCAACAUCAGACUCUACAAUGUCUUCAUCCAGUUCAUCAUGAUGCUCCUCUCCACAUUGUUCAGAUUUAACCGACGGAGGAAGUUGAGCACCCAAGCUUUCGAGAAAGGUCUUGAAAAAGGUUAGCGAAGGAUUCUGUAAAAUUGAAGGAUUCUCUUUGCAAAGCUCCACAAAAUGCUUUAGGUCUUCAAGCUUCUCAGUAUCCAUCAUCGUCCUCACCAGUCUACUCUCUUUCUCUCUGUGUCUUA
rnacentral:misc_RNA from 1 species